rnacentral:rRNA from 1 species
UACAGAGGUCCCGAGCGUUGUUCGGAUUCACUGGGCGUAAAGGGCGCGUAGGCGGCGCGGGUAGUCAACGGUGAAAGCUUGGGGCUCAACCCCGAGUCGGCCGUCGAUACUCCCGUGCUUGAGCACUGUAGAGGCAGGUGGAAUUCCGGGUGUAGCGGUGGAAUGCGUAGAGAUCCGGAAGAACACCGGUGGCGAAGGCGGCCUGCUGGGCAGUAGCUGACGCUGAGGCGCGACAGCGUGGGGAGCAAACAGG